UUCGGCAAGCUACCUGUGCAUGUGAUUCCACUGCAACCUGACCCAUUCUCAGCCUCCUUCCAACACUCACCUCAAGAGAGACCUUCUAUACAGGAAAAAAUGAAGUCUCACAAAAGAAUUAACCAGAUCACAUAUUUUUGACCUUUUGAUGAGUGGAAAAUGUUGGGAUUUUUUUCUGUCAAUCCUUAGACCUGAGAAAAAAGUUGAGGUCAUAUCCGGCAGCUCUUGAAGAUGCCUGCCAUUAGAAGAUGCAAGGCUGAGGUUAUGUAAGUGUGCUGGCCAAAUCCAGUUGUUCCAGGAAGUCCAACAACAGCUACUCUGCUCUGCUCCUAACCCUCCUCUGUAAUGGGUGCCAGAACAGAAAGGUAAAGAAGGAUGGAUAUUUGCCCUUGAUGACACUUGAGUGCUUUGACAGUGACAUACCACUUCACAUGCAUCUCUAUUUUAUAUAUUGAAGAGAGACAGCUCAUUGGAUACACAAACUAUAAAUCGAAACUGUAAAUUCUUCCUAUCCAGAUGUCUGUUACACUCACACCAAAAAAAUUAUAUGAAAAAAAAAUUAUUUCUGUCCUCUUCUUUGCUCUUUGCUUAUUAAAAUGUAAAAUUUGAGACAUUUGAUUGAGAUGUUAGGUUCUUAACACACUGAAUAUCUUUUGUUACAACAAAGUGAACUCCCUAAAAAUUUUAACUCAAAGCCAACAGGUAA